GCAAUGAGAGUUUUAAUUGAAGAUCCUCCUGGUGGCCAUCCCACACCUAAGUUUGGCCAGUCUAAUUCACAGAGAGAACAAAUUUCACAGCUGAAUAAAUUUCACCAUAGUCUCCCCUAAAACCUUUCUUAAUGUUUCACAACAGGCAUUCCAAGGGUUUUAAAAUUCAUUUACUUUGUGUGCCUCCCAUGUUGUGCCCUGUAUCAGUGUCACACUCUUAUGACAAGAUUUACUUAAUCCAUCUCCAUCCUUUCUCCUCUCAGGGACUUAGGAUCCUCUUAGCCUUGGGGGUCCAUAUCAACCCCUAACCUGGAGCCUCCACCUACAUGUUGGUUGGCACAAUUCUGCGAUAGACUAUAUGAGGUUCCAUGGAACCAUGAAUUGGGACUCAGCACUCACUUUGUUCUCAGGACCCUCAGAUGUUGAAGAAGCCUCUCUUCCACCUACAUGGGCCUCUUGGUUGAAGUCAGAUGGGACACCACUGAAGAACCUGGGACCUACCUGUUUGGUCAGGUGGUGCUCCACGUUCCCUAUUCUUGGAUCCUUAUGGGUUCUGUUGUGCUUCAGGUGGCAGCUCUGAGAUGUCAGGUGAGUCAUUCCUCCUUCAGUAGAGUUGCCUCUGUGGUGUGCUAAGGGGAAUCAAUGUCCUCCAACAUCCCAGACUCCAGAGACAAGAGAGGCAACUUCACCAUUUCCAUCCCAUGUGGAUUGCCAAAUGAUGCAGGACAGAUGAGGCUGCACACCAGAGAAAUUAGCAGAAGGAAGGUUUAUUGGCGACAGCUGGUUCAGAGUGUGGCUAUAUCCUAAAAAUUCCUCCACUGAACCAUGAGUCUAGAAACUCUUUGAACUUUAUACUCACUGGGAGGAGGGGCUUGGAUUUCCACUUUUGCUGGAGUCAAAAGUAUCUUUUUUCUUUGACUUCAUAGAGAGUGCUUUUGUCUCACUUUUUUUUUUUUUAGGUUAGUCAGAGGUUACAUGGUUUACCACAAAAGCAGAAGUAACAUCACAAAGUCUUUUGCCAAACUUAGCUUUUAUAAGACACAGUAACAGGAAAUAGUAAGUCUAACCACAUUUGAGGUUUAUUUCCAGAAUUUUUUCCUGAUAUUCUC
rnacentral:lncRNA from 1 species